rnacentral:rRNA from 1 species
GACGAACGCUGGCGGCGUGCUUAACACAUGCAAGUCGAACGGAAAGGCCCUGCUUUUGUGGGGUGCUCGAGUGGCGAACGGGUGAGUAACACGUUAGUAACCUGCCCUUGACUUUGGGAUAACUUCAGGAAACUGGGGCUAAUACCGGAUAGGAGCUCCUGCUGCAUGGUGGGGGUUGGAAAGUUUCGGCGGUUGGGGAUGGACUCGCGGCUUAUCAGCUUGUUGGUGGGGUAGUGGCUUACCAAGGCUUUGACGGGUAGCCGGCCUGAGAGGGUGACCGGCCACAUGGGGACUGAGAUACGGCCCAGACUCCUACGGGAGGCAGCAGUGGGGAAUAUUGCACAAGGGGCGGAAGCCUGAUGCAGCAACGCCGCGUGCGGGAUGACGGCCUUCGGGUGGUAAACCGCUUUCGCCUGUGACGAAGCGUGAGUGACGGUAAUGGGUAAAGAAGCACCGGCUAACUACGU